rfam:Triticum aestivum genome assembly, contig: Triticum_aestivum_CS42_TGACv1_scaffold_220969_3B
GCCCGUCUGCUCAGUUGGUAAAGCAAAAGGCUCUUAACCUUGUGGACGUGAGUUCAAGCCCCAUGAUGGGGG